CACACGAAGUUGCAAAGAUAAUACAGAGAAAUCCUCUGUACUCUUCACUCAGUUAUACCUCAAUGUUACCUCUUACAUAACUAUAGCAUAAUAUCACAAUCAGGAAAUUGAUAUUGAUACAACAUAUGUAUAAUUCCAUGCCACUUUACCACACAUGGAGUCAUGCAACAGUCGCAAUCAAGGUACAGAACUAUUCUAUCACCACAAGAAUUACCCUCAUUCUACCCCUUUAUUAAAAGUUCUACUCAUCCCUCUGCCUCUCCCAUCUAUACCUAGCCCUUGGCAACCACUAAUCUGUUCUUCAUCUCUAAAAUUUCCUCAUAUUGAGAAUGUCGUACAAAUGGAAUCACAUAGUAUGUGACUUUUGAGAUUAGUUUUCUUCACUUGGCAUAAAAAUGCCCUUGAAAUCCAUCCAAGUUGUGUCCAUCAAUAGUUUCUUUCUUUUUAUUGCUAAGUAAUAUUCCACAGUAAGAAUGUACCACAGUUUGUUUAGCCAUUCAGCAUACUGAUGACCAUAGUUUGUUUAGCCAUUCACCUACUGAUGACAAUUUUGAUUGUUUUUGGUUGUUGGCUAUUGCAGAUAAAGCUGCUUUGGACAUUUGUGUAUAUGUAUUUGUGUGAACAUAAGUUUUCAUUUCUCUGGAAUAAAUACCUAGUAGUUCAACAGUUUGAUCAUA
rnacentral:lncRNA from 10 species